rnacentral:lncRNA from 1 species
UUUUUUUUUUUUUGUUUUUUUUUUUUUGAAACAGGGUUUUUCUGUGUAGUCCUGGCUGUCCUGGAACUCAUGGAGUUGUGGCUGCUAAAUGACUUAGUGCAUAGAGUUAGUUAUCCUGUCCUUCCUUUGUAAUGUGACCCUACGGUUGCUAAUUAUGACCUUCCUGCUAGCAGCUGUGAUCUCUUAAGUCGUUCAUUUUUUGCUUGCAAGACACCAGUUGGGUUCUCACUUGUGCCUUUAUACCUGUCCUUUCCUUGUGAGGUUCAGCUCUAGUCUGCCUCUACUCAAAGCUCAGUGAAGCUCCAACUCCCCUAGGUGAGCAGUGAUUUUUUUGUGCUUCUCCAGAAAGCCAUCCUAAUCAAUUCUGCAUUAACCCAAAUAAAUGUGUCAUAUUUUAGGGCAAUAAAUUAGAAUGAAUGAGUAAAGUUGUGAAAAUGUUUAACUUUAAAAAUUGAGAAGACAAUAAUUGCCUUAUUUUAGAGUCUGGAUAUCUUUCACUCAUCUUACGGUCUGUGUCACAAAACCAUCAAAAUGAAAUAGGUUACACAUGAAGCCAUGAAUGCCACUGGUCUUUUCUGCACCCAGAAACUAUGUUGUACCCAGAUACUACCUAACUGGAUAUCCCACCAAUAACUGUCUUGAUAAGGCUCUAAAAGACCAAAAAGUAACUCGUGAGACAUGGUGGGAUGUGAAACUUCUUACCCUGUAUCUAGGAAAAGUUCUUCAACACCAUUGAUGCUGUUUCUUCAGAUGUAAAAUGAAAAUUUAUGGAAGGGCUAUAAAACUAUUAAAUAAUGCAAAUGGAGUACACAUGGAGAUGCUUUCAGUAAGCAACAGCUUUUAAAAUAGCAUUCAGAAAGUCCAUUUUCUCCCCAUGAAUUACCUAACCAACAGAACCAAUUGCUUUACCAGAUGAUUUUUUGACAAAAUUGAUUAUUUUAACACCUAUCUUUACUGUCUAUUUCAAAGCCAUUAGCUUUCUUAUAAAAUCGCAAAGACAUUUCAUUCCUGAAGCAAUUUGGUACUUUUGUGGUGUAGUUACCUCUCUGAUAAAAUGAUUUCUAAUCAAAACUAGAAAUAGCUAAAGAAUGGGGGAUAACUGAAAUUUAAUUGGAUGACAGCCUCCCACAGCUUCUGUUAGACCUCCUGAGGAGAAGGAUCAAGGCUCUCAUUUUCCCAACUGACCACCCAGCCCUGUCACAGAGCUACCUACAAACCUGGCCCUUAGUGCAUAGUUUGUUCUACUGUGUUUUCAGGACCUGAUGGCUUAAUACACAUAAGUUUACCCGUGUGUAUUUCUGCAGGCCAGAAGUUCAAUGUCAGUUUUAUAGAGCCAAAAUCUAGUUGUCACUGGGCCAGGACUUGGGAGGCUCCUAUAGAGUCUGUCCCUGCUUCCUCCUGCAGAUUGUUGUUUGGGUUCAUAUCACUUCAGUCCUGUUGCUUUCACUUCGUCUUCUCUUUCUCCAAAUCUCUUCUGACUGUCCUUUAUAAGGACACUUAUGAUUGGAUUUGAGGCAUGUCGGACACUACAGGAUGAUCUUCUCACACCUGCAAGGAAUCCUUACAAAGGAAUUGUACAUUUCAGAGAUUAGAACCGGAGGCCCCAGAGAUGUUGAGUCAAUGUAUUACAGUAGUGUUUGCUACUUCACCAUUUCAAGGGACUGUGGAUAUAAAUGAUUGUUUUGAAGGCCAUAACGGAUCUAUAAGCCACUUUAGAGCUGGGAAACUAAGCUGCCGUUUGUACCCCUGCUCAUCUUCUCUACAUUGUGUUCAACAAUGAACCUUGAAGAAAAUAAAACCCAGGUCUCCAGCCUUCCCCAGCCCCGUGCAUGCGCAUUCUCCUUCACCCCCAAUUCCUUUUGAGUAAGUUACUUGUUAAAAUAAAUCCUUAAGGUUCAAAAC